UUACGCCCUGUGGGAGAGAUCGGCCGGAGACGCUAGUCUCCGGAAGACGCCGAAGGCGCAACCCGCCCGGAAUCGCUCAGGCAAACGGACCGCAGCGGCAGU
rfam:Candidatus Muproteobacteria bacterium RBG_16_65_31 RBG_16_scaffold_88424, whole genome shotgun sequence.